CAUCCAGACUCCUACGGGAGGCAGCAGUGAGGAAUAUUGGUCAAUGGCCGCAGGGCUGAACCAGCCAAGUCGCGUGAGGGAUGACGGUCCUAUGGAUUGUAAACCUCUUUUGUCAGGGAGCAAUUGGCGCUACGUGUAGCGUUAUCGAGAGUACCUGAAGAAAAAGCAUCGGCUAACUCCGUGCCAGCAGCCGCGGUAAUACGGAGGAUGCGAGCGUUAUCCGGAUUUAUUGGGUUUAAAGGGUGCGCAGGCGGAAGAACAAGUCAGCGGUAAAAUGGAGGGGCACAACCUCGUCGAGCCGUUGAAACUGGUUUUCUUGAGUGAGUGAGAAGUAUGCGGAAUGCGUGGUGUAGCGGUGAAAUGCAUAGAUAUCACGCAGAACUCCGAUUGCGAAGGCAGCAUACCGGCGCCCAACUGACGCUCAUGCACGAAAGCGUGGGUAUCGAACAGGAUUAGAUACCCGUGUA
rnacentral:rRNA from 1 species